rnacentral:rRNA from 1 species
AGUGAACGCUGGCGGUAGGCCUAACACAUGCAAGUCGAACGGCAGCACAGGAGAGCUUGCUCUCUGGGUGGCGAGUGGCGGACGGGUGAGGAAUACAUCGGAAUCUACUCUGUCGUGGGGGAUAACGUAGGGAAACUUACGCUAAUACCGCAUACGACCUACGGGUGAAAGCAGGGGAUCUUCGGACCUUGCGCGAUUGAAUGAGCCGAUGUGGGAUUAGCUAGUUGGCGGGGGAAAGGCCCACCAAGGCGACGAUCCGUAGCUGGUCCGAGCGGAUGAACAGCCACACUGGAGCUUAGACACGGUCCAGACGCCGACGGGAAGCAGCAGGGGGGAAUAUUGGACAGUGGGCGCAAGCCUGGCUCAUCCAUACCGCGGGGGUGAAGAAGGCCUUCGGGUUGUAAAGCCCUUUUGUUGGGAAAGAAAUCCGGCUGGCUAAUACCCGGUUUGGAUGACGGUACCCAAAGAAUAAGCACCGGCUAACUUCGUGCCAGCCGCCGCCGUAA